AGGUGAUUGAGGAGGUUAGGUGGUUCCACUCGGUACCUGCGCAAAAAAACUCACACAACGCUUUUGUUCGACUAAAGGGAACGGAGACUUCUGCGGGUGACCAAUUCUGGAAGACACUUGGUCACAAGUAACUGGCAAACAAGAAAAGAACAGCCUGGAGCCAGCGUUUCGUUUACGUCGCUAUUAAAUCACCCAGUUCAGGGCACAUGUUGGAUAUACGCAACGUGCGC